rnacentral:rRNA from 1 species
UACGAAGGGGGCUAGCGUUGUUCGGAAUUACUGGGCUUAAAGCGCGUGCAGGCGGUCUUCCAAGUCAGGGGUGAAAGCCCGGAGCUCAACUCCGGAACUGCCAUUGAAACUGUUAGACUUGAGGACGAGAGAGGUGAGUGGAAUUCCCAGUGUAGAGGUGAAAUUCGUAGAUAUUGGGAAGAACACCGGUGGCGAUGGCGGCUCACUGGUCCGGUACUGACGCUGAGGUGCGAAAGCGUGGGGAGCAAACAGG